GCCGUCGUAGCGCAAUGGUAGCGCGUCGCUUUCCUACUUAGGGUUGUCGUAGGCGAAGGUUGCGAGUUCGAUCCUCGUCGUCGGUA
rnacentral:tRNA from 1 species